CAACCCUCAGGGCCCGCCUGCUUGCCAGGCGCGGCGCUGGUGUUGGGGAUCGGCUUCGUUGCCGUCCCCCAAAUACAGUGGCGGUCUCGCUGCAGCCUCCCCUGCGUAGUAGCAACACUCGCAUGCGGAGCGCGGCGCGGCCACGCCGUAAAACCCCCGACUUUCUGAA
rnacentral:misc_RNA from 1 species